GUUUUGAUUUAUAUCAAUUAUUAUAAUUAAAGGCGUUAAGAAACCUUUGGUGACCCAACAGUUUAAAUGUCUAUCGUAGGUACGUCGUGAACAGUGGUCGUUACAGACAAACGUUCACGUAAAUUGUCCCAGUCAAUGGAUGGAUUUUAUGUGUCAAUCAAUGGCCACAACCACACUGUUUUGAAUUUCAUUCUAAAAUAUAUCAAAAGGAUGCAAGACCGGAGGUGGUAACAUCUUAUAGCUAUAUUUUUUUAGUCUAUGUGGGCAACUGUUAACCAUUAAAUCUUUAAAGUCAAUAUUUGCAGAUCUUACUUAUAACGUUGAAAAUUAGUUUUAUCAAAGAGACAAUACUUCGAACAUGUGAAUAAUAUUUUUGAUAGAUUGGUUGUCGAAUUGAAAUAACCUGGAAAGUGGCUUUCUCAUACAUUCUCUUUUAUUGAGGAAACGCAGCCCCCCUUUUUGCAGGUGGGUAAACUUUCAAAAUCUAAUAAUUCCCAUUUUUUUAAAAAUCAUUAACGGACCGAAUUCAGUAAAGUUGAAAAAUGAUUGAAUAUUUCUAGUAUUGGACAAUAUUGUUAAGUAAACAGCUAUUUAUUUUGUCCAUUCCCUAUUUACUGAUUUAAAGUUUGUAGACAUUAAUGUAGAAUUAUAACAAACAACAUAUUCAGAUUAAAAUAUUUGUCGGUCAUACUUCUCUUUCUGUUUCAGGAAGUAUGACUUUUUAAAUCUGUCGAGUUCAUUAGCUUUUAUCAAACGUAGAACUCAAAUUAGUAAGGUCCAUGUUGAUUGUGUUUUAUAGUUUCCGCAUUUUUAUACCGCUGUUCUAUUGCAUGCCUCUCAUUUGUAAAAGAAGACACAGCGAUGACAAACAUUUUUAUUCUGACACAUACAUAUUUUACUGCAUAAUCUACAACCUCCAACACUAUUAACACACAUCCGUUUGUCUUUAUCGUAUCAUCUCAAAGUUGAUAAUUUCAAAAUGACAUUCUCCGAAAUCUUCUACAGCCAUUGACAUCUCUACUGGUGAAUGCUUUUUCAAUUUCAACUUGUUGCUCAACGGACUAGGCCAACUCAGAUAAUAGUCU
rnacentral:lncRNA from 1 species